rnacentral:sRNA from 1 species
CCCAAAGCUCAAAGUAGAGUCUCACAAUAGUGGGAUAAGACAUGUGUGCUUAUUUACCUUGGCAAGUGCAUGCAACAUUUCCUAUGAUAGAUCUAUAGUCCUUUAUUGUAGCGAUAUAUACUACAUAGACUGACUGAGCACUACAUGUAUAUAAAGUGCACACAGGGAUAUCAAGUACACAGCAGGGAAAAAAGAAACUGAAAGAAUCUGUCAUAAAUCUGGACACACUGUUGACUUCAGCCCUCACCCCAUCCAGAGAGAUAUGCAAAUGAAAAUGCUUUUAAAUAUAUAAAUAAGAUUACUCUAUUAUUUAGUCUUUUAGUCUUUGCAGAAUAAUAUGGGGUCAAUUUAUUAAUACGGUGUUGUUGUUGUUUUUUUGACUAUGUUUUUUCCACAUAUAGUGUAAAAAAAAUAGU